rnacentral:rRNA from 1 species
AUGCGGCGGCUACCGCUGCGACUCCUGCGCUCCGCGGCCGCCGGAUCUCUCCGGAGCCCCGCCCCCUCACGUGGCUGUCCUGUCCCCCGAGCGCCACAUCUGCCGGCGGAGGCAGCCGCCGCGCCGGCCGAGCUUGCCCGCUGGCUACCGCGGAGAGGGUACUCCCGGUUCGCGAGCGGAUUCACCCCCUUGGAGCCGAAGAAGCUGGGAUCCAUCCUCGACGUCGAGCGCGCCAAGGGCCUCUCCCCCGAACACCUGGUCGCGGCAUGGGAUGACUACCACCUGGGAAGAGGUCACAUAGGUGUAUCAAUGAAAGCAAAGCUUUACCGUCUCUUGGAACAAAGAUCGGCUACAUGCCCAUAUUUUGUUAUUCCUUUGUGGAGAGGAAGUGGAUAUACCACCAUGUUUAUGCAAGUCCAGCUGCCACACAUGAUCUUCACAGGGCUUGAAGACUACAAAGCAAGGGGAACUCAAGCAAGCCCUUACUAUACAGUCACUCAUUUCACAGAGUUUGCAGAAACCAAGGAUACAGUGCUUGUCCGAGGAGACGUUGUCUUCACCAGCAAACUAACCGAUGCAGAGGCAAAGUGUCUUUUAGAGACCGCCCACUCGUUCUACCUGAACGAUGUGCGGUACAAGCUCGUGGAGCGUUUCAACAAGGAAACACAUGAUUUCGAGUUCAAAGAUGUCCUUCAGGCGCUUGAAAUGCCGUCCAUGUGA